UUUUUUUUUUUUUUUUUUUUUUUUUUUUUUUUUUUUUUUUUCAUUC
rnacentral:ribozyme from 1 species